AGCAGCCGCGGUAAUUCCAGCUCCAAUAGCGUAUAUUAAAGUUGUUGCAGUUAAAAAGCUCGUAGUUGAAUUUCGGGACUAAUAUGUCGGUCGUGCCUCGGUACGCACUGGCUUAUUGGUUUCUCCUUUCUGAAGAACCAUGAUGUCAUUUAUUUGGUGUCGUGGGGAAUCAGGACUGUUACUUUGAAAAAAUUAGAGUGUUUAAAGCAGGCUCACGCUUGAAUACAUUAGCACGGAAUAAUGAAAUAGGACGUUUGAUUCUAUUUUGUUGGCUUCUAGGAUCGACGUAAUGAUUAAUAGGGAUAGUUGGGGGCAUUAGUAUUCAAUUGUCAGAGGUGAAAUUCUUGGAUUUAUUGAAGACUAACUACUGCGAAAGCAUUUGCCAAGGAUGUUUUCAUUAAUCAAGAACGAAAGUUAGGGAUCGAAGACGAUCAGAUACCGUCGUAGUCUUAACCAUAAACUAUGCCGACUAGGGAUCGGAUGAUGUUAAUUUUUAAUGACUCAUUCGCGCCUUAAC
rnacentral:rRNA from 1 species